ensembl:ncRNA C48D5.5 ncRNA
GUAUGUUUUGUUUAGAUGGGUUCAUGUGAAAAAUAAAUAUCUAGGCUUUUGUCAAAUUGAUACGACAAAAAUUGAUACGAUAUUCCUACGAACUAGGGGUAUUUACCUUGAAAAUUUCAAGUUUAUAGUAUGUCGUUCAGAUUUAGAAUA